rnacentral:rRNA from 1 species
UACAGAGGUCUCAAGCGUUGUUCGGAUUCAUUGGGCGUAAAGGGUGCGUAGGCGGCGCGGUAAGUCGGGUGUGAAAUCUCGGAGCUUAACUCCGAGACUGCAUUCGAUACUGCCGUGCUUGAGGACUGGAGAGGAGACUGGAAUUUACGGUGUAGCGGUGAAAUGCGUAGAUAUCGUAAGGAAGACCAGUGGCGAAGGCGGGUCUCUGGACAGUUCCUGACGCUGAGGCACGAAGGUCAGGGGAGCAAACGGG